rnacentral:rRNA from 1 species
UACAGAGGGUGCAAGCGUUAAUCGGAAUUACUGGGCGUAAAGCGCAUGUAGGUGGGAGCAUAAGUUUGAUGUGAAAGCCCCAGGCUUAACCUGGGAAUGGCGUUGAAGACUGUGUUUCUAGAGUUUGACAGAGGGCUGUGGAAUUUCCGGUGUAGCGGUGAAAUGCGUAGAGAUCGGAAAGAACACCAGUGGCGAAGGCGGCAGCCUGGAUCUAAACUGACACUGAGGUGCGAAAGCGUGGGGAGCAAACAGG